rnacentral:rRNA from 1 species
CCUACGGGUGGCAGCAGUGGGGAAUAUUGCACAAUGGGGGAAACCCUGAUGCAGCGACGCCGCGUGAGUGAAGAAGUAAUUCGUUACGUAAAGCUCUAUCAGCAGGGAAGAAAAUGACGGUACCUCCGUAAUAAGCCCCUGCUAACUACGUGCCAGCAGCCGCGGUAAUACUUAGGGGGCGAGCGUUAUCCGGAUUUACUGGGUGGAAAGGGAGCGUAGACGGAGAGUCAAGUCUGGAGUGAAAGGCCGCAGCUUAACUGCGGAACUGCUUUGGAAACUGGAGAACUAGAGUGCAGGAGAGGUAAGCGGAAUUCCUAGUGUAGCGGUGAAAUGCGUAGAUAUUAGGAGGAACACCGGUGGCGAAGGCGGCUUACUGGACCGUAACUGACGUUGAGGCUCGAAAGCGUGGGGAGCAAACAGGAUUAGAUACCCGAGUAGUC